GAAGUCCAAUAUGUCAUUAUACUUCAAUAAAGAAGUGAUCCACGUGGCAUCAUUCUAUUGAAGCGCCUUCUACCGAAGUCCAAGAUUUCAUUCUACUUCGAUAAAGAAGUGAUGCACAUGGUAUCAUUCUAUGGAAGCAUCUUCUUCUACCGAAGUCCAAGAUUUCGUUCUACUUCGAUAAAGAGGUGAUGACAUGCGGCAUCAUCUACAGAAGCGUCUUCAUCUUCCAAAGCAAAAAAAUGUCUUUCUACUUAAAGAAGUGUCAUGAGAUGUAACAUGCCUCUAUUGAUUUGUCUUCAUCUACCAAAGUACAAAAACGACCAAGAUCAAGAAUUUCGAGAAAAUAUAGCAACUUAAGGAUCAAGAUCUAACCGGUUUCUCAUUUUUUGGCACUUCCUGGUGGAACUGACUGGAGACACUCUCCGGUGAAGCAAAGGGAGUACCUGCAAGCAUUACAGUGCUCAAGCCAGUAAGAAUUGGAGAGACUGAAAGCUAGAAUUAGCAGUGCAUACCUUUCUCUUGGGGUUGGAUCUCUAUUUAGACAAUUAGACACGUACAGUAAUUUUGACAGCAACCCUUUAGCUUAGAGUGAAUCCAAGGAAUGGGUCUUCAUGAAGGCGAAGUCUGGAUUGAUCAUUGGUCUAGUCCAAAACAGUUGCCCCCAAGUCGGCAAUGUUGUUUAGACAAGAUGCCUACAUGAUAAUUGUGCAAUUUAUUGAAGGUCAUUAUUAUAGAACGAAGUGUCUUUCAACUACUGACGUACAAGACAUCUUUCUACUUCUAUAAAAGAAUGACACAGAGUCAAUUUAGUGAAGCAACUUCGUCGACGAAAGCUAAAGAUGUUUGUCUACUUCGAUAAAAGAAAUGCCAACACUGUCAUCGUACUGUUGGAGAGUCUUCAUUUACCGAAGUCUAAGAUGUCAUUCUACUUCGAUAAAUAAGUGAUGACACAUGUAAUCACUCUAUUGAAGCAUCUUCAUCUACAGAAGUUCAAGAAUUCAUUCUACUUCGAUAAAGAAGUGAUGACACAUGGCAUCAUCUAUUGAAGCGUCUUCGUUUACCAAAGUCAAAGAUGUUUUUCUACUUCAAUAAAGAGAUUAUGAGACGUGACUUCAUCGACCCAUGUACGAAAACCAUCAAGACCUAGAAAUUCAAAAAAAUAUAGCAACUCCAGCAUCAAGGUCUAACUGGUUUCUCAUUUUUCUGCACCCAUGGUUAUGCAACCUAUUGACCUCAUCAGAAAUUUGUUUCUAAAUUUUUUCCUCAUAACAAACAAAGUUGUUCUUAGAGGCUUAAAGAUUAUGUCGUUUUCAUGUACUUUUCUGAAUUAUUGAAUGGCUUAAUCAGUUCUUACGAAAUAAGAUAUACGGAAGAUGU
rnacentral:lncRNA from 1 species